AGCAAGGCCACUAUCCCUUGUGUCCCAUUCAUCUUGUCUGAUACGGCUGCAACUGUUACUUCCAUUCUUCUACAAUUAGAAAACCUCUGGAGUUUGGGUAUUAGCAACUACCAAACAUGUAGUUUAUUAUUUGUUGAGCACUAACCCCGCGCAGCACCCCAAAUGGGAAUUACAGCAACAAUACACAUGACUGUGCUCUGGGAUAAUCGAGCAUUUUCAUUUUGUGUUGCAUUCCUCAAACAUUCUGGCAAAGGGGCCUGUGCUGACCUCCCCACACAGUGAUAGAUUUCCUUGCUGCGUAAGUCUAUGGGAAAAUUCCUCUUCCCUGGGAUGAGAAUGUGACCCUGUGACUGGGCGCCCAUUACAGUCAGGGGGCGCGGUGCACCUGCAGGGUCUCCCUCCCUCACAGAGGGACUAGAAUCCCGCCUCUGCAAAUCCACCCAGCUCAGGCUCUGCAGAACAUCUGGGCUUCCUCCUACUACUGGCCACUGCGAAGGGCUGUGCACCUGCAUGUGAUUAGGACUCGGCAAACACCCACAGCCUACAGGGCUGCAUGCUGGUGGCACAUCACAGUGGACAAGUUUCUCUCCAGAUCAUUGUCCCUUCUGAGCAGAUAGUCACAGGGUUCCUAGGGCACAAGAACACAUGCAUCCAUGACCACGUUGGGCACCACCAUCAAUGGAACAGCAGUUGGAGGCAUCUCUGCCUUGGCCUGCUUGGAAAUGAGCAGGCAUCAGAGGCAGAUCCAGGACCUGACAGGACCAGGGAAGGAGUGGAGAAGUCAGUCUUAGCCGCCUUUACCAUUAGUCAUGGACAGGCCUUUUAGAUGUGCUCUUAUCAGUGUCUGGGAAAUUAGAUAAAAUUUUAAAUGCCAUCCCCGACUUUCCUUUCUCUCUGUGACUACUACUCUACUGAAUGUGUACUCUAACCACAGAAUGCUGUGGUAGGUCAAAUGGAGACUGAAAAAUAAGAAAAUGAAAAAAGAUGCUUAUAAACAAAGCAUGACAAGACCUUCCAGUUUUCAAUGACACGGUCGUAGAACUUACACAUUUAUUUUACCUGCCAAAUGAGUUAGUUGAAAGGGGAACACAAGUUUUCUUCCAAAGAAAAAGACUCCUUUAUUUAGUAAUAUGAAAUGGAGUAGUGAAAAGAAAGCAGGCUUUCUUGAUCUUUCACCAGAAAGUCACAUGACCAUAGGAACCUGCAUUAACAAACUGUGGCCUAUUGGAUUCACCAUGAACAUGGGCUGCCAUCACUGACGAAAAGGUGGGUCACUCCAGCAGGCUCCAUAUCCCAAAAGAGGUAAUCCUGGUAACAAGUCACUAAUAAGGCUAAGUCCUUGUCAACUUCCUACAGUUGCUGCUCUGUCGUUAGUCUUCUCCCAGAAAUAUUUAAGGAACACAUUAAAUAGAUUUCUCCUUCAUCUGUAGGCAAAAGUCAGGUGCAAGAGCUGGGAUAGCAACAGAUGCUGUGUGGUUGAUCCUGUCCUGCUGCAUCCUUCGUGGUGUCACCGAGCACAGGCUUUUGUACUUGUCUCGAAGAGUACUGGGCAAAAAAGGCCCUGUCAGAUUUGCUGUAGGACCUUAUUGGGUUCUGUGAAGUAUGUAAUGGGCCUUGCAGAGGAAGCGGCUUCCAAGGGACUUUAUGCCUUGGGAUUUCAGAGACUUAACUGUGCAGCCUCCAGGAGGGGAGGGCUCAUGCUUUCUGGAGUGAGACAGGUCCCGCAGCAGCCUGAGAUGUAUAAACACAGAAAACCUGUCCACUCAAACUGCAUUUGGAAUGAGAGCACUCACUCUACACAUUAUCAUGCUCACUUCCCAAAGAGAAAAUGUUUUCCACUGCAUUUUGGCCUCCCUUCCUGAACCCAGGCUUGAUGUUUUUUACCUUGCUGUGCAGUGACUUCAUGCCAUGUGAGGCUGUGUGCAGCAGCAUCCUAUGCAGUUUCGUACCAGUCACCAAGACCCAGGGUGCGGCCCCCCAUGCCAGAGGGCCCCAGCCUUACACCUGAUCUGACAACACAGGAGAAUGAUCGCAGGGAAUGAUCGGCACAAAGGCAAGUAGAGCCAGGCCUGCUAUGUCACUCCCGCUGCUAUGUUAAAAUGCAGUCAGUCCUAAUGCCUCAAUAGCUGGCCGCUAUUCUAUUAAUGAGUUGAGGACUAUAGUAACACAGAAAGGCUGAGUAACAAAAGCUGAAAAUGUUUUCCUUUAGAGACCAGUCAUGAGCGGUUUUAUGAAUCAAAUAUUUAAUCAACUUAUCUGUACAAAAUAUUAAAAUGGUUAAUGAAGAGUAUACAAGCACGUUUAACAAAUAUAUACUGCUAUAUAGUAAGAAAAAUAGAGAUUGCUGUUUUACAUGUCAUUUACAUUUCACUAUGUACAAUCUAUUUAAAUUUGAGAAUACAUAUACACAUAGGUUUCUACCAACCCUGGGAGGGCUCCCUGCUAGCUGGCCUGGGCAUCGGCAACACCUCACGACGUCAGCUUGCGUUGCCCAAAUAAACACCCAGGCCAGGCAGCAAGGAGACAGCCCAGCCUGCAAGCCUCGGAGUUCUGCUCUGGCUACACCAGCAGGAAGAAUGCUGACGAAGGAGAUUUCAGUUUGCCUUAAAUGAGUUUUUAAUGUCCCCUCACACCCCAAUCUCAUUACUCCCAAGCCAAGAAAAAGUGGGUGUCACUGCAAAGCGAAAGGACUUCUAUCCCCUCACCAAAAUAAUUAUUUUUGUCUUUAGCUGCUGAGGAAAUGGUGUGUUGAGCCUUGAUGGCAUUACCAGCACUUUGAGUUUUACCAUUUCCUUAAAAUCACGGUACUGGAAUCAGAUGAAAUUUGCUUUUUAAGCUGCAGGCCACUCGUCACGUGCAGAAUUCUGCUGCCCACCCAAGGCCUACUUAAACAGCAUCAUUUUGUAAGCUGGUACAGGAACUCUGCAACAACCUUCAGAGAAAUGAUCUGCUGCUUUAUUUGUAUGCAAAAAGAAAAA
ensembl:lncRNA